CCUACGGGGUGCAGCAGUGGGGAAUAUUGCACAAUGGGGGAAACCCUGAUGCAGCAACGCCGCGUGAGUGAAGAAGUAUUUCGGUAUGUAAAGCUCUAUCAGCAGGGAAGAAAAUGACGGUACCUGACUAAGAAGCCCCGGCUAACUACGUGCCAGCAGCCGCGGUAAUACGUAGGGGGCAAGCGUUAUCCGGAUUUACUGGGUGUAAAGGGAGCGUAGACGGCUGUGCAAGCCAGAUGUGAAAGCCCGGGGCUCAACCCCGGGACUGCAUUUGGAACUGUGUGGCUGGAGUGUCGGAGAGGCAGGCGGAAUUCCUGGUGUAGCGGUGAAAUGCGUAGAUAUUAGGAGGAACACCAGUGGCGAAGGCGGCCUGCUGGACGAUGACUGACGUUGAGGCUCGAAAGCGUAGGGAGCAAACAGGAUUAGAUACCCCAGUAGUC
rnacentral:rRNA from 1 species